rnacentral:rRNA from 1 species
AACGAACGUUAGCGGCGCGCCUAACACAUGCAAGUCGCACGAGAAAGGGCUUCGGCCCCGGUACAGUGGCGCACGGGUGAGUAACACGUGGGUAAUCUGCCUUCGAGUGGGGGAUAACAU